CCGGUCCCAACCCGACCCUAUAUCGGUUUCAUUGGGUUGGGUUUUUACCCCUUUCAAUUCGGGUUGAACCCGACCCGGGUUGGAGUCAAACCCGGUUUCCUUUCCUUGACCAAAAAUCGAAUCGGGUUGAAACCCGAAACCGGUUUGGUGAAAACCUGAAGUUUGUACACGCCUACCGAUAUCAGCUUGGAAAGAUCGAAGUCCUUAAGAGCUUGGCACAUUAAUUCACUCGGGACACGAUCCAUGCUUAAGCAGUGAAAAUGGCGGUUGCCAAUGGAAUGAAAUUCAAAUUGUAUCCAAGGUAGUCGGGAAUACUUGC